CUUGAACUGCCUGCAAGGAAAUAGCCAGUGUGGCGAUCCAUGGAGGGCGGACAUUUGUUUCCACAACAAGAGAGGACAUUAAAUGUGGUCAGUGGAGGAGCUACUGGCUACACAUAAAACCCACACAGGUCCUCCAUUCACAGCCAUGGCCACAAAGCGGAUAAUGAGUUCCAUAAAACUGUCAGGAAGGAAGAAUAAAUGUGCAUCGGAUACACCAACCGUAACUCAGAUGUUGUCUACGUAGCUGGAAGAAUGAUAAAAAAUGGCUUUCACUGGCAUUGAUCAGACCCCGUAGAAAUAUUAAUGCGUUAAAACCCUGAUAAGAGGCAGCGGUAAGUCUCUAGCAUGGGAACUGCCUCUGGUGGUCUGGACUCUGGCCAAGUCCAGCUCUCAUUAAUGUGAAAAGGUUAAACGUUCUUCUAAAAUUCAGGAGACUCAUACUCAGCAAAGGCUGCUGUGUGCAGCAGCUGGUUCUGCAGGAUUACUGCAUGAUGGCUUAUUAAAUGCGUUCCCUCUGAAAAAUUCAACUGUUUAUUCUCACUUUAUGUUCCCACCAUUAGUCCCGAUA